rnacentral:misc_RNA from 1 species
GGUCGUGUUGACCGGUGAAUUUAAGUGUCUUGACCUCUUCCUGUAUCGUCAAGCUCCAAUUAUUCAGAGUUUCAGAGACCACAAGGACUAAGCAAAUGCGUCUCUCUCUUCUGAUUUCGAUCACAAAUCCUCCUCCAUCUCUCUUUUUGCUUUAACAAUCCCCUUUGGUUUCGAUCCAUACCAAUCAUGUACUCAACAAACCCAAAUUCCUAUGACAAAUUCUCCGGCCCCCCACCGCCGAUGUUCAGUCAGGAUUCAACAACAACUGGGAUUCCGGUGAGCUCAACAAACCAGUACUACACCAGUGACAAUUCUCUAUCAGAUACCCAUCUUCAAUCCAAGAAUAAGGACCCAUGGUCCUCUGGCCUUUGCGACUGCUUUUCCGACUGGCGAAACUGCUGCUUAACAUGUUGGUGCCCCUGCGUCACCUUCGGACGAAUUGCUGAGAUUGUAGACAAGGGAUCAUCAGGUAAUUAAGAAGCAAAUACUAUUAAUUUGUCAAUCAUUAAUUAACUACAUUCAAUUGCUUAUCUACUAGCUAGGAUGAUUAAUUACUAUAGAUCUAUUGAAAGAUCCACUUUUAAUUCCAAAUUGGGUUGAGUCAUGUCUACUGAUAGAAAUUAAGAUGGGUUGACGUUGGUGGGUGCAGCUUGUGGAGUGAAUGGAGCUCUAUACACACUAAUUGCUUGUGUGACUGGUUUUGCUUGCUGCUACUCAUGCUUCUAUAGAGCAAAAAUGAGGCAGCAACACUCCUUGAAGCAGAGCCCUUGUGGGGAUUGUUUGGUUCAUUUCUGUUGCGAGUAUUGCGCCUUGUGCCAAGAAUAUCGAGAGCUGAAAAGCCGUGGAUAUGACUUGUCUAUAGGAUGGCAUGGUAACGUGGAGAAAAAGAACCAUAGCCUGGAGAUGGCUUCGGUGCCACCAGCGGUGGAAGGAGGCAUGAGCAGAUAGAUUGGGAGAUUUGAGCCUUGUUCAUGAACUAGUAAACAUUUGUGUGGUGAAGAUCAUUGUCGUUUACUGUUAAAUGUUCUCCAUUAAUAUCUAAUCUCAAUUGUAGCUGAUUAGAAAAGGGAUGUACUAUCCCUUAAUUAAUCUUUAUUAUGUAUUAAAACCAUUAUACUUUUUAAUAGACAAAAAAUAUAUAAUAUCUGUGUAAAAUAAGCUGCAAUAGUAGCUGUUUGUUAAAC